CCAAUAGCGUAUAUUAAAGUUGUUGCAGUUAAAAAGCUCGUAGUUGAAUUUCGGGAUUCUACCGUUGGUCGGGCUUUGUCUGUACUGGCGUGUAGAAUUUCUACCUUCUGGGGAACUAUCAUGUUAUUAAUUUAGCGUGGUAGGAAACCAGAACCUUUACCUUGAAAAAAUUAGAGUGUUCAAAGCAGGCUUAUGUCUGAAUACAUUAGCAUGGAAUAAUAAAAUAGGACGGUGGUCCUGUUUUGUUGGUUUCUGAAUCACCGUAAUGAUUAAUAGGGAUAGUUGGGGGCAUUAGUAUUCAAUUGUCAGAGGUGAAAUUCUUGGAUUUAUUGAAGACUAACUACUGCGAAAGCAUUUGCCAAGGAUGUUUUCAUUAAUCAAGAACGAAAGUUAGGGGAUCGAAGACGAUCAGAUACCGUCGUAGUCUUAACCAUAAACUAUGCCGACUAGGGAUCGGAUGAUGUUAAUUUUUUAAUGACUCAUUCGGCGCCUUACG
rnacentral:rRNA from 1 species